rfam:Triticum aestivum genome assembly, contig: Triticum_aestivum_CS42_TGACv1_scaffold_290800_4AL
AUAGUACUUCCUCCGUCCAAAAAAGCUUGUCCCAAGUUUUUUCUUCAAAUGGAUGUAUUUAGCACUAAUUUGAUGCUAGAUACAUUUAUUUGAGGGACAAGCUUUUUCAAACGGAGGGAGUAAUAC